rnacentral:rRNA from 1 species
GAUGAACGCUAGCGGCAGGCUUAACACAUGCAAGUCGAGGGGUAGAAGCAGCUUGCUGCUUUGAGACCGGCGCACGGGUGCGUAACGCGUAUACAAUCUACCUUUUACAGAGGGAUAGCCCAGAGAAAUUUGGAUUAAUACCUCAUAGUAUUUUCGAAUCGCAUGAUUUGAUUAUUAAAGUUCCAACGGUAAAAGAUGAGUAUGCGUCCCAUUAGCUAGAUGGUAAGGUAACGGCUUACCAUGGCAACGAUGGGUAGGGGUCCUGAGAGGGAGAUCCCCCACACUGGUACUGAGACACGGACCAGACUCCUACGGGAGGCAGCAGUGAGGAAUAUUGGACAAUGGGCGCAAGCCUGAUCCAGCCAUGCCGCGUGCAGGAAGACGGUCCUAUGGAUUGUAAACUGCUUUUAUACAGGAAGAAACACCUCUACGUGUAGAGACUUGACGGUACUGUAUGAAUAAGCAUCGGCUAACUCCGUGCCAG